ACGAACGCUGGCGGCGUGCUUAACACAUGCAAGUCGAGCGGUAAGGCCCUUUCGGGGGUACACGAGCGGCGAACGGGUGAGUAACACGUGGGUGACCUGCCCUUAGCUCUGGGAUAAGCCUGGGAAACUGGGUCUAAUACCGGAUAUGACUCCAUGACGCAUGUUGUGGGGUGGAAAGCCUUGUGCGGCUAGGGAUGGGCCCGCGGCCUAUCAGCUUGUUGGUGGGGUGAUGGCCUACCAAGGCGACGACGGGUAGCCGGCCUGAGAGGGCGACCGGCCACACUGGGACUGAGACACGGCCCAGACUCCUACGGGAGGCAGCAGUGGGGAAUCUUGCGCAAUGGGCGAAAGCCUGACGCAGCGACGCCGCGUGAGGGAUGACGGCC
rnacentral:rRNA from 1 species